UUUGAUCCACAAGGUACCUUAUAUGGAUCGCAUAUGAAGCUUCCGUCAGCAUAUCUAGGUGAAUCAGAGUGGCUUACAUGGAUCACAUAUCAAGCUCUCGUCAGCAUGUUUAGGUGAAUGAGAGGUGGCUUACAUCAUCACUGAUUUUCCUUGAUGAUAUACGAAAUGAAGGACCAAAGCCAAUUGGAAGUUCAAUUUGAAGAAGCUAUCAAUCCUGUGAUUUAGCUGUGCACUCUGAUUAAUGGAAUUAUUAUUCCCUAAAAAAAGAUACCGCUGGUUUUUCAUCCCCAGCAGCACCAACAGAAAAGACGAAGCUCGAAUUACGUUACUAGCAGGGAACUCAUAGCAUCCACAGCAUAUACAUGUGGACGUGCUGUUCAAACACUGAAGACUUGAAGUGGACCUGGACCAAGACCUGCUCAUAUGAUCAUGUCCUAGCAGUUUGAAGAAGAGGCCGCCCUCCUCCACAGAGAAAAAAAAAAUCUAAAUUAUUGGA